AAUUGCAUUUAGGUGGGGAAAGGUGUCAAUGUUUUAGUGAAUACCAAUUAAUAUUGCACUUGUCCCGGCCUAUAAGCGAUUU
rnacentral:pre_miRNA from 2 species